rnacentral:lncRNA from 1 species
UCAAAAUCUUUAAAGUAGGGAAGAAAUCGACGGUUUUCGAAUGAAAUCCCAUUUUCAGACCAUGCUCAAAUCUGGUAAGGAAAACGUAACAUUUAUCAAACACAGUUUUGCCUUUCGAAAUUUAAAUCAUGUUACUGUGUUGUAGCUUUUUUCUCUCGCGUAUUUAGACUAUAAAAAGUAGACAGUAAAGUUUAAUAUUUCUGAAAAUGUAGGAAUCGAGUGCUUUGCAUCAUCAUAAAUUCAUAAAAUCUACAUGUAAAAACCAACAAAGAGUUCGUGAAUAUCGUAUGAAACAAACACAAAUUGAGCAUGUAUUUAUCUAUUCACAUGGAAAAAAGUAUCGCAACACGAAAUUGAAAUUGA